AGAGUUUGAUCAUGGCUCAGGAUGAACGCUGGCGGCGUGCCUAAUACAUGCAAGUCGAGCGAAUGGAUUAAGAGCUUGCUCUUAUGAAGUUAGCGGCGGACGGGUGAGUAACACGUGGGUAACCUGCCCAUAAGACUGGGAUAACUCCGGGAAACCGGGGCUAAUACCGGAUAACAUUUUGAACCGCAUGGUUCGAAAUUGAAAGGCGGCUUCGGCUGUCACUUAUGGAUGGACCCGCGUCGCAUUAGCUAGUUGGUGAGGUAACGGCUCACCAAGGCAACGAUGCGUAGCCGACCUGAGAGGGUGAUCGGCCACACUGGGACUGAGACACGGCCCAGACUCCUACGGGAGGCAGCAGUAGGGAAUCUUCCGCAAUGGACGAAAGUCUGACGGAGCAACGCCGCGUGAGUGAUGAAGGCUUUCGGGUCGUAAAACUCUGUUGUUAGGGAAGAAUAAGUGCUAGUUGAAUAAGCUGGCACCUUGACGGUACCUAACCAGAAAGCCACGGCUAACUACGUGCCAGCAGCCGCGGUAAUACGUAGGUGGCAAGCGUUAUCCGGAAUUAUUGGGCGUAAAGCGCGCGCAGGUGGUUUCUUAAGUCUGAUGUGAAAGCCCACGGCUCAACCGUGGAGGGUCAUUGGAAACUGGGAGACUUGAGUGCAGAAGAGGAAAGUGGAAUUCCAUGUGUAGCGGUGAAAUGCGUAGAGAUAUGGAGGAACACCAGUGGCGAAGGCGACUUUCUGGUCUGUAACUGACACUGAGGCGCGAAAGCGUGGGGAGCAAACAGGAUUAGAUACCCUAGUAGUCC
rnacentral:rRNA from 1 species